rnacentral:rRNA from 1 species
UCUGUAGGCGGUGCGGCAAGUCGGGAGUGAAAUCUCAGGGCUUAACCCUGAGGCUGCUUUCGAAACUGCCGUGCUCGAGUGUGGGAGAGGUGAGUGGAAUUGCAGGUGUAGCGGUGAAAUGCGUAGGUAUCUGCAGGAACACCAGAGGCGAAGGCGGCUCACUGGACCACAACUGACGCUGAGAGACGAAAGCUAGGGGAGCAAACAGGAUUAGAUACCCUGGUAGUCCUAGCCCUAAACCAUCAGGACUUGGCGUGGGUCCCUUUCGGGGCCCGUGUCGGAGCUAACGCGUGAAGUCCUGCGCCUGGGGAGUACGGCCGCAAGGCUGAA